rnacentral:sRNA from 1 species
AGAAGAAGAAGAAGAAGAAGAAGAAGAAGAAGAAGAAGAAGAAGAAGAAGAAGAAGAAGAGUAGUGAUACCAAAUGCUAAGGAUGCCUGUUAACGAGUUUCAAAUCCCAGCCAUGUCUGUUAUGAGCUGUAUGAUCUGAGGACAACUGCACAAGUAAUACGAGUUUCCUCCUCUGAAAACAAAGGCGACAUUAUGCGGCCAGUGGGAACAGUACGGGAUUAAAUGAGGCUUGCCAUACAUCUGCAGAGGAUCUAAAUCAGUGCUUGGCACCAGUGAGGCAUUUCGCCUUCCCUGCCACCUUCCCUUUCUCCCUCCAUGCAUCCGAGGAGGCUAUGGCUUGUGUUAUCUCUCGCUAAGACGACCACACGCUAAAGGAUCAAACCUAAACAGAGCUGGCUUCCAGGGUCCCCUCAUGUGAACCCACACCCUGUCUUUGUGGCCUCCCCACUUUCUACCAUACACACAUCACUCUGUAGCCACACCCAAUUACUAGCUCUUGUCUAAAUACAUGGUACGAUCUCUGUAA